AAUCAUUCACAAUGGGGGCAACCCUGAUGGUGCGACGCCGCGUGGGGGAUAAGGUCUUCGGAUUGUAAACCCCUGUCAUGUGGGACAUUAAAAAGAUAGUACCACAAGAGGAAGAGACGGCUAACUCUGUGCCAGCAGCCGCGGUAAUACAGAGGUCUCAAGCGUUGUUCGGAAUCACUGGGCGUAAAGCGUGCGUAGGCUGUUUCGUAAGUCGUGUGUGAAAGGCAGGGGCUCAACCCCUGGAUUGCACAUGAUACUGCGAGACUAGAGUAAUGGAGGGGGAACCGGAAUUCUCGGUGUAGCAGUGAAAUGCGUAGAUAUCGAGAGGAACACUCGUGGCGAAGGCGGGUUCCUGGACAUUAACUGACGCUGAGGCGCGAAGGCCAGGGGAGCGAAAGGGAUU
rnacentral:rRNA from 1 species